ensembl:lncRNA
UUUUUUUUUUUUUUUUGAUACAGGUCUUGCUGUGUCAUUCAGCCUGUAGUGUAGUGGCAUGAUCAUAGCUCACUAUAGCCUCAACUCCCUGGGCUCAAUUGAUCCUCCCACCUCAGCUUCCCAAGUAGCUGGGACUACAGGUGCCAAGUCACCACACUUGGCUAAUAUUUUGCAGUUUUUUGUAUAGACAGGCUUUCCCCAUGUUGCCCAGGCUGGUCUUGAACUCCUGGGCUCAAGUGAUCCACCCCGCUCAGCUUCCCAAAGCUGGAAUUUAGGCAUUACCCACCACACCCAGCCUCGACAUUUUUUUUUUGAACAGGAUGUCUUCCGACAAAACUCACUGAUACAUACUAAAAAUUACCAAAGAAUUCUGAUCAACUGGAUUUUAUUUCAGUUACUCAAAGAUUCCACAAGUGACUCAAACUCUGACCACGCAUUUGGAUAUGGAGAUCUCAAAUGAUGUGACUGUCAAACCUCUAUUCAUCAUAUUUCUUUUUUUGAGAGAGGAUCUCACUCUAUGGCCAUGGCCUAGAUUGGAGGGGAGAUCAUGGCUCACCACAGCCUCGACUUCCUGGGCUCAAAUGAUCCUCCCACCUCCCAAGUAGCUGGGACCACAGGCGCACACCACCACACCUGGCUAACUUUUUGUAUUAUUAUUAUUUUUUUUUAUAAAGACGGGGUUUUGCCAUGUUGCCCAGGCUGAUCCAGAUAUCCUGGGCUCAAGUGAUCCACCUGCCUCGGCCUUCCAAAGUGUUGGGAUUACAGGCGUGAGCCACUGCACCUGGCCAAUUCUUCAUAUUCCAGAGCACAAAUUGCCAAAAUAAUUUAAUCUUAUGAGGUUAUAUUCCCUUUCUUUGCUAUCUUACCCUUACUUGUCUACCUUGUAAUUAAAGGUACAAGUCUUGGGAAAUACCCAUAGGAUUUUGGCUACAAAAAUAAAAGCUGUUGCUUUACUUUUUAUCUUAAAUUUCAUGAGUGAUUUAAAAUUUCAUGUUAUAUGCUAAAGUGAAAAUAUUCUAAAAUUUGUACUUUUCACAUAGAAUUUAUAUCAAGUCAGAUGUUUUAGACAAAUGACAAUUGAUGAGUUAUUUGUAUAAAGUCAUACAUAUUUACUCUAAGGUUAAGUGAAAGGAAGGGUUAACAGUUCUACAGUUAGCUUUUUAUUAAUUUUUUUUAUUUUUAGAUAGGAUCUUGCUCUGUUGCCCAGGCUGGAGUACAGUGAAGAAGACCCUGUCUCAGAAAAAAAGAAAAAAAAAAGGAAAAAAUUCAUUAAAUAUCUUUAAAUGGUUAUGUUUGAUCCCUUUAACAUUAAGAAUUCUUUAAAAUAAUAACUUCUCAUGUAUCAACUGACAUAAAAAAUCCAAUAUUUGCUGUCCUCUACUUUUUGUGUAUAGCUCCACGAGUAUUAAACUUAAGAUUGUUCCACACCUCGUCUGACCAGGAAAAAAAACAAAACAAAACUUAGAUUGCUACGAAACUAUACAAAUCUGCUUCCUUUUCUGUUCGAGUUUUAAAUUGUUUAUAUUUCCCUAGAUAGGGUAUAUUGAACUUCUAUCCAAUAGAAUCAGAAAAAGAAACAUUCAAAUUUACGACAUAAUCAUGUUGGCUAUCAAUCAUAUCAAUAUAAUGGAUAACAUUAAAAUACAUAACUAAGUGGUUUUAAGUAUUACAGCACAAAGUAUGCAAUAAAGAACAAUUAAUGUUAAAGGUAACAAAGAGCUCAAAGUAGCAAAUUUUCUAAAAGGAAAUUUAGCAAAUAAUUUUAGCUAUUUAUCAUUAUAAAUAACUCUUAUACCCUAAAAGUUGUUAAUUACAGAUCUAAAAGGAAUACUCCAGGUUAUCAUCAAUUUAUGGUAGACAAUAUGGUAUUUAAAUGUAUUAAAUGCCAUACAUUUAAUGAAGAUUCAUUACAUAUUAAAUUUGAAUUUUUUUUUCAUUUCUAGUGAUCAAACCUAGAGAGGCUAGUGAUUUGCUGAGACUGAAAUUCAGGUCUCCUAUCUCAUAAUGGCUUUUUUGUUUUUAUUUUAACUAUAAUGUAUUUCGGGUGUCCUGGUUCCAGUUUAAACAUGAUAGUGAUGACAAUGGAGUUUCUGACAACAAAAAGUAUUGUUAUAAUGCAUUGUUUUUUAUUAUAAAAGCUAUGAUUAGGGAUGACUUUUGAAGUAUCUAUCUUCUUUCUUUAAAAUACACAUUUAAUACAUGCUCACUACAGAAAAAGUAAAAAUUAUAGAUAAACAAUAACAAGCAGUUUUAAACCUAACAAUAACCAUUGUUAAAACUCUUAGUGUUAGGCUGGACAUAGUGGCUCACAUCUGUAAUCUCAGCACCUUGAGAAGUUGAGGUGGAAAGAUCACUUGAGACCAGGAGUUUAGUACCAGCCUGGGCAGCAUAGCUAGACCCUAUCUCUACAAAAAAUUUAAAAAUUAGCUGGGCAUGGUGGUGCAUAUUUGUAGUCCUAGACACCCAGGAGGCUAAGGUGGGAGGAUCGCUUGAGCCCAGGAGUUUGAGAUUGCAGUGAGCUAUGUUCGCACCAUCACACUCCAGCCUGGGUGACAGAGCUGUCUGUUUUAGAGACAGACCUUGUCUCUAAAAAAGCAAGCAAACAAAAAAGAACAGAUGUUGUCCAUCCUGGAUAUUUGACUAACCCAACUAAACAUUUCAUUUUUAAAAAAGAACAGUAUCAGCCAGGCAUGGUGGCUCACACCUGUAAUCCCAGCACUUUGGGAGGCUGAGGCAGGCGGAUCACUUGAGGUCAGGAGUUCGAGACCAGCCUGGCCAACAUGGUGAAACCCCGUUUCUACUAAAAAUACAAAAAUUAGCAGGGCACGGUGGCGUGCACCUGUAAUCUCAGCUACUUGGAAGAAUCUCUUGAACUCAAGAGAUGGAAGGUGCAGUGAGCUGAGAUCACACCUCUGCACUUCAGCCUGGGUGACAGAGCAAGAUGCCAUUUCAAAAACAAACAAACAAAACCAGUAUCUUUGAGAUUAUAUACUCAAUGUAAUCACAUAGAUUCUUGUUCUUCCUUAUAUGAUGACAAAGAGUCAAGGGAUAUUAUCUAAUAUCUUUUUCUCCAAGAAAUAUCAGGAAAUCACUUUUUAUCACUAAAGAUGCAUAACCAUUUGGUAGUUUUUUUU